rnacentral:rRNA from 1 species
GAUGAACGCUAGCGGGAGGCCUAACACAUGCAAGCCGAGCGGUAUUUGUCUUUCGGGACAGAGAGAGCGGCGUACGGGUGCGGAACACGUGUGCAACCUGCCUUUAUCAGGGGGAUAGCCUUUCGAAAGGAAGAUUAAUACCCCAUAAUAUAUCUGAUGGCAUCAUUAGAUAUUGAAAACUCCGGUGGAUAGUGAUGGGCACGCGCAAGAUUAGAUAGUUGGUAAGGUAACGGCUCACCAAGUCAGUGAUCUUUAGGGGGCCUGAGAGGGUGGUCCCCCACACUGGUACUGAGACGCGGACCAGAAUCCUACGGGAGGCAGCAGUGAGGAAUAUUGGACAAUGGGUGCGGGCCUGAUCCAGCCAUCCCGCGUGAAGGACGACGGUUCUAUGGAUUGUAAACGUCUUUUAUACUGGGAUAAACCUACUCUCGUGAGGGUAGCUGAAGGUACAGUAUGAAUAAGCACCGGCUAACCCCGUGCCAGCAGCAGCCGCCG